UGCCUAUCUUGGACGUUACACGUAGGGCUUAUUGGUCGAAAGAACGGGUGGUAGUUCAAUGUGGUAUGGGCCACACUGGCAGAUCGAUAUAGGGCACAAGCACACUUGAUGAACAACAAGGGACUUAAUACUGAAUGUAUUUGAUGUCACUACUUAUUUUAUCUGAUGUGCCCAACCCCUUGUCAGUAAAUGGUCUGAUUUGGGUCUAGUGAGACUAAAGCCACCUCUCGUGCCUUCCAGACUCUGAGGAAGAGGAGAUGGAUACCACCCCGGCACCCGCAGCAAAGAAAGCAGGCAUGGUCAAGGCUAAGGAGGAGUCUGACGAUGAUGAGGCCCCAGCGACUCCUGCAAAAGAGGAAGGCCGACAGCAAGAAAGCCAAGUCCGGAAGCGAUGAUGCGUUCUAUUCGUCGGCAACCUGACCUCAAACAAGGACUUUGAUAAAAUCAGAGGUUUUGGCAGCUUUCUUCUCAAAGAAGAACCUUGAAGUUCAGGAUGUCAGACUUGGCGCAUCAAAGAAGUUUGGCUACGUUGAAUUUGCCUCAGCGGAGGACAUGCAAGACGGCCUUGGAGCUGAACGGCAAGAAGUUCAUGGGACAGGGGUUGAAGAUGGGUAAGGCCCGCAGCAAAGGAAACUCCCAGGGGGACAAAGGUACAUUUAUAUUACUGUUGCUAUUUUUAGUGCAUUGACUAAAUCUUGCUGUUUGAAACUAAGGUUUUCACAAAUGUGAUAAUUGAAUAAACUGACGUGGUGAUUUAAAGUCUUGACUUUUCCUUUCAUAAUUAUCUGGAGCUUCCAAAGAUUGUGUACAUUACUUUUUUCCUGUGAUGUAACUUUUUGAAGUGGUUAAAUAACUUAGUGUGACAUGAGUAAGUUGCCUAAUGACGACAAGCCAUUAGCUGACGCUAGCUAAUUAUUUUUGGUAUUUAGAGAGAACCCGUUGAGCCCAGGGUCUCGUGCCGUGAUCACAGUAAUCCAAUGUUUAAAAAAAAUACAACACAAUUUAAGGAGAACUCGGGUCCUUAAUCCACUUGAAAUUGAUCAUCCACUUUAUGUAACUUGCUCCAGCAGUGAGGUGUGUUAAAUAAAGCCUGAUUUUAGUGGCUUCAGAAACUAUUCAUACCCCUUGCUUUAUUCGUGUUGCGUUAAAGCCUGACAUCAAAUAAGAUUACAUUGAUCUUUUUUACUCCCAUCUACAAAGGAUACCCCGUAACAACAGAAGUCAGUUUUUUUUUUGCACAUUUAUUGAAAUUAAAAUGAAUUGCUUGUAUGAAUACUGCAUUUUACACCCUUGAGUCAAUGCAUGUUAGAAUCACCGUUGGCAGUGAGUACAGCUGUCUUUCAGGGUGAGUUUGAGCUUUGCGCACAUGUUUUUUUUACAAUAUUUGCAGUUUAAGAACAAUGUCUUAUUUACAAUGAUGGCCUACCCUGGCCAAACUCUUCACCACACCGGGCCAACCUAUGGGACUCCCAAUCAUGACCGGUUGUGAUAGAGACCCGAAUCCGGGUCUGUAGGGACGCCUCGAGCACUGAGAUUCAGUGCCUUAGACCGCUGUCCAUUUCUAUGCACACAUUUUCAGGUUUUAGCAUAGAUAUUCAAGCUGAUUUAAAUAAAUGAACUGAGCCACUCAGGACCUUCCACUGUCUUGGAAAGCAACUCUAGUGUAGUUUUAAGUUAUUGCCCUGCUGAAAGGUGAAUUCAUCACCAGUGUCUGGUGUAAACCAGAUUUUCCGCUUGGAUUUAGCUUGUUUUAACUAUUCCAUUUCUUGAUUUAUCUGUAAACGCUACCCAGUCCUUAAUGAUUACAAGAAUACCUGUCACAUGAUGCAGCCACCUCUCUGCUUGAAUUGGAGUGUGGUACUAAGUAAUGUGUUCUAUUAGAUUUGCCCCAAACUUAAUGUAUUCAGGGCAAGAAACCUCCCUAGUCUUUGGUUAAAUCUGUAUUUCAAAUUCACUGCUCAACUGAGGGACCUUUUAAAGAGAAUAGAUUUUAUGUGUGGGGUAGAGAGAUCAGGAAGUCUCACACAAUUUUUUGAACACUUAUUCACUUAUUGCACACAGUGAGUCCACACCGAGCAGUUUGUCGUGGCCUUCGCUGAAUUUGUACUUUGGCUCAAAUGUGCAAAUAAGCCAUAAAUGUUAACAUCUAUAUGUGCUCAUUUGCUGAGAAUAUAUUUUCCCCAAAUAAAUGCAU
rnacentral:lncRNA from 13 species